GACGAACGCUGGCGGCGUGCUUAACACAUGCAAGUCGAACGGAAAGGCCCUGCUUUUGUGGGGUGCUCGAGUGGCGAACGGGUGAGUAACACGUGAGUAACCUGCCCUUGACUUUGGGAUAACUUCAGGAAACUGGGGCUAAUACCGGAUAGGAGCUCCUGCUGCAUGGUGGGGGUUGGAAAGUUUCGGCGGUUGGGGAUGGACUCGCGGCUUAUCAGCUUGUUGGUGGGGUAGUGGCUUACCAAGGCUUUGACGGGUAGCCGGCCUGAGAGGGUGACCGGCCACAAUGGGACUGAGAGAGGGCCCAGACUCCUACGGGAGGCAGCAGUGGGGAAUAUUGCACAGUGGGCGGGAGCCUGAUGCGGAGGCGCCGCGUGCGGGAUGACGGCCUUCGGGUUGUAAACCGCUUUCGCCUGUGACGAAGCGUGAGUGACGGUAAUGGGUAAAGAAGCACCGGCUAACUACGUG
rnacentral:rRNA from 1 species